CACCGUCCGAUCUCAAAUUGAAAGCCUCCAUAUCAUAGCCGCAACCGUAGCUAUGCCUUCUAGACUCUUCCCUGGGCGAUGAUAAGGUACUGCUAUUUGUAGCUGAGGGGCCAAGGCCAUUACUGCGUAGAGUCUGGAGGUGGUGGUUGGCGAUGAAGGCAGUGGGGUUGUCAUUUUGAUCGGGAUUAAGCCAUUUAGAAUUAGGCUUGGAUUUAACUUUAGAUUGGGGCUUAGAAUCAGGUUCAGGUGGAUUAAGAGCGGACUCAGGGAGGAAGAUCCGUAUCGAGAGAGAGGUAAAAGGGUCGAUAUGAAUAUCCUUGGUGGCGACGCCAUCGGCAAAGGAAGGAUUAGGAGCGGAGACAGACUCCUCGGGUCGGGUGGUAACGCCGAAGGGAUUAGUAUCAUCAUGGGGGGUUUGGAUCCGAUUCUGCAAACGGUGCUUCAAGAGGAACUUGAAGAAGACACUGUAUAACUUGACAGCCACGCUUGGCAUUUCUCCUUCUCCCUCUCUCUCUCUCUCCAGAUUUUGUGCUCGUGCUCACUGGGUCCGGAUAGAGAGGAAAUGGAGGAUUGGUAGGUGGUGAUUUUUGUACGUAUUUUCAGGGAUUAAGAAGAAUGCAAGGUUAGAUUAAUUAUAGGAUAAAGUUAAAAAUUGGGGAUUUUAGAUUGGAUUAGGGUUUUUAUAAAACUAUGGUUUGCUUUGGCUUUUUUGAAUCUGAUUGAUUUCAAUGGCAACUGAGAGAGAUGACGGUCGAUGGAUGAUGAUGACAAUGGAUAAUGGUGGGCUGC
rnacentral:misc_RNA from 1 species